CCUACGGGUGGCAGCAGUGAGGAAUAUUGGUCAAUGGACGAGAGUCUGAACCAGCCGAGUAGCGUGAAGGAUGACUGCCCUAUGGGUUGUAAACUUCUUUUAUAUGGGAAUAAAAUGUUCCACGUGUGGGAUUUUGUAUGUACCAUAUGAAUAAGGAUCGGCUAACUCCGUGCCAGCAGCCGCGGUAAUACGGAGGAUCCGAGCGUUAUCCGGAUUUAUUGGGUUUAAAGGGAGCGUAGGUGGAUUGUUAAGUCAGUUGUGAAAGUUUGCGGCUCAACCGUAAAAUUGCAGUUGAAACUGGCAGUCUUGAGUACAGUAGAGGUGGGCGGAAUUCGUGGUGUAGCGGUGAAAUGCUUAGAUAUCACGAAGAACUCCGAUUGCGAAGGCAGUUCACUGGACUGCAACUGACACUGAGGCUCGAAAGUGUGGGUAUCAAACAGGAUUAGAUACCCGUGUAGUC
rnacentral:rRNA from 1 species